UACGUAGGCAGCAAGCGUUGUUCGGAGUUACUGGGCGUAAAGGGUGUGUAGGCGGUUCUUUAAGUUUGGGGUGAAAUCUCCCGGCUCAACUGGGAGGGUGCGCCGAAUACUGAGGGACUAGAGUACGGGAGAGGAAAGUGGAAUUCCUGGUGUAGCGGUGAAAUGCGUAGAUAUCAGGAGGAACACCGGUGGUGUAGACGGCUUUCUGGACCGUAACUGACGCUGAGACACGAAAGCGUGGGUAGCAAACAGG
rnacentral:rRNA from 1 species